rnacentral:rRNA from 3 species
AGAGUUUGAUCCUGGCUCAGGAUGAACGCUGGCGGCGUGCCUAAUACAUGCAAGUCGAGCGAACGGACGAGAAGCUUGCUUCUCUGAUGUUAGCGGCGGACGGGUGAGUAACACGUGGAUAACCUACCUAUAAGACUGGGAUAACUUCGGGAAACCGGAGCUAAUACCGGAUAAUAUUUUGAACCGCAUGGUUCAAAAGUGAAAGACGGUCUUGCUGUCACUUAUAGAUGGAUCCGCGCUGCAUUAGCUAGUUGGUAAGGUAACGGCUUACCAAGGCAACGAUGCAUAGCCGACCUGAGAGGGUGAUCGGCCACACUGGAACUGAGACACGGUCCAGACUCCUACGGGAGGCAGCAGUAGGGAAUCUUCCGCAAUGGGCGAAAGCCUGACGGAGCAACGCCGCGUGAGUGAUGAAGGUCUUCGGAUCGUAAAACUCUGUUAUUAGGGAAGAACAUAUGUGUAAGUAACUGUGCACAUCUUGACGGUACCUAAUCAGAAAGCCACGGCUAACUACGUGCCAGCAGCCGCGGUAAUACGUAGGUGGCAAGCGUUAUCCGGAAUUAUUGGGCGUAAAGCGCGCGUAGGCGGUUUUUUAAGUCUGAUGUGAAAGCCCACGGCUCAACCGUGGAGGGUCAUUGGAAACUGGAAAACUUGAGUGCAGAAGAGGAAAGUGGAAUUCCAUGUGUAGCGGUGAAAUGCGCAGAGAUAUGGAGGAACACCAGUGGCGAAGGCGACUUUCUGGUCUGUAACUGACGCUGAUGUGCGAAAGCGUGGGGAUCAAACAGGAUUAGAUACCCUGGUAGUCCACGCCGUAAACGAUGAGUGCUAAGUGUUAGGGGGUUUCCGCCCCUUAGUGCUGCAGCUAACGCAUUAAGCACUCCGCCUGGGGAGUACGACCGCAAGGUUGAAACUCAAAGGAAUUGACGGGGACCCGCACAAGCGGUGGAGCAUGUGGUUUAAUUCGAAGCAACGCGAAGAACCUUACCAAAUCUUGACAUCCUUUGACAACUCUAGAGAUAGAGCCUUCCCCUUCGGGGGACAAAGUGACAGGUGGUGCAUGGUUGUCGUCAGCUCGUGUCGUGAGAUGUUGGGUUAAGUCCCGCAACGAGCGCAACCCUUAAGCUUAGUUGCCAUCAUUAAGUUGGGCACUCUAAGUUGACUGCCGGUGACAAACCGGAGGAAGGUGGGGAUGACGUCAAAUCAUCAUGCCCCUUAUGAUUUGGGCUACACACGUGCUACAAUGGACAAUACAAAGGGCAGCGAAACCGCGAGGUCAAGCAAAUCCCAUAAAGUUGUUCUCAGUUCGGAUUGUAGUCUGCAACUCGACUACAUGAAGCUGGAAUCGCUAGUAAUCGUAGAUCAGCAUGCUACGGUGAAUACG